rnacentral:rRNA from 1 species
CCUACGGGUGGCAGCAGUAGGGAAUUUUCGUCAAUGGGCGCAAGCCUGAACGAGCGAUGCCGCGUGAGUGAAGAAGGCCUUCGGGUCGUAAAGCUCUGUUGCGGGGGAAAAAAGGCAGCAUCAGGAAAUGGGUGCUGACUGAUGGUGCCCCGCCAGAAAGUCACGGCUAAAUACGUGCCAGCAGCCGCGGUACUACGUAGGUGGUGAGCGUUAUCCGGAUUGAUUGGGGGUAAAGGGUGCGCAGGCGGGCCGGCAAGUCUGACGGGAAAGGGAUGCGCCAAACUCAUGCAUGGCUUUUGAAACUGGAGGACUGGAGAGCGGGAGAGGGCGGUGGAACUCCAGGUGUAGCGGUAAAAUGCGUAGAUAUAUGGAAGAACACCAGUGGCGAAGGCGGCCGCCUGGCCUGUUGCUGACGCUGAGGCACGAAAGCGUGGGGAGCAAAUAGGAUUAGAUACCCUAGUAGUC